rnacentral:rRNA from 1 species
GAUGAACGCUGGCGGCGUGCCUAAUACAUGCAAGUCGAGCGAACAGACGAGGAGCUUGCUCCUCUGACGUUAGCGGCGGACGGGUGAGUAACACGUGGAUAACCUACCUAUAAGACUGGGAUAACUUCGGGAAACCGGAGCUAAUCCCGGAUAAUCUAUUGAACCGCAUGGUUCAAUAGUGAAAUACGGUUUUGCUGUCACUUAUAGAUGGAUCCGCGCCGCAUUAGCUAGUUGGUAAGGUAACGGCUUACCAAGGCGACGAUGCGUAGCCGACCUGAGAGGGUGAUAGGCCACACUGGAACUGAGACACGGUCCAGACUCCUACGGGAGGCAGCAGUAGGGAAUCGUCCGCAAUGGGCGAAAGCAUGACGGAGCAACGCGGCGUGAGUGAUGAAGGUCUUCGGAUCGUAAAACUCUGUUAUUAGGGAAGAACAAAUGUGUAAGUAACUAUGCACGUCUUGACGGUACCUAAUCAGAAAGCCACGGCUAACUACGUG